rnacentral:rRNA from 1 species
AGCAGCCGCGGUAAUUCCAGCUCCAAUAGCGUAUAUUAAAGUUGUUGCAGUUAAAAAGCUCGUAGUUGAAUUUCGGAAUCAAUGGAUCGGUCAUGCCACUCGGUGUGUACUGGUUUGAUUGGUUCUCACCUUCUAAGGAACCGUGAUGUCAUUAAUUUGGUGUCGCGGGGAAUUAGGACUGUUACUUUGAAAAAUUAGAGUGUUUAAAGCAAGCUCACGCUUGAAUACAUUAGCAUGGAAUAAUGAAAUAGGACAUUGUAUUCUAUUUUGUUGGUUUCUAGGAUCGAUGUAAUGAUUAAUAGGGAUAGUUGGGGGCAUUAGUAUUCAAUUGUCAGAGGUGAAAUUCUUGGAUUUAUUGAAGACUAACUACUGCGAAAGCAUUUGCCAAGGAUGUUUUCAUUAAUCAAGAACGAAAGUUAGGGGAUCGAAGACGAUCAGAUACCGUCGUAGUCUUAACCAUAAACUAUGCCGACUAGGGAUCGGAUGAUGUUAAUUUUUAAUGUACUCAUUC